UUAAGUAUAAUGGAAGUUAUUAACGUUCAAAAUCUGACGCGGCGGUUACAGCCGAGAUUUUGAAAUGGGACCCCUAUAUUGAAAUGUAUUCUACAUUAAAAGGUGCAGGGAGAGUGGUCGCAGGAGAAGAGUUUCGAACUGAAAUGACUGAAGUAUUGUCGAGUUGGUGUGUCCAGAUGAAUUACUGAAACACAUUUGCUCAAUCUCUGAUGUCCAAUAGAAAAAAAAAAACAAUAAAAUGUUUUUAAAUAAUUUGAACGUACAAAUUAAAUAAAACAAAAAAUCCUACGGUGUUAUUUCACUAUGAAAUCUACCUAUCAUUGAUACACUGGCAGUGUUGUCAAAAAACCUGAGAUUUUGUAUUCAAUUCGAAUCAUCGGACUUCGAAGAGCUAUAGAAUUUUUCAGGAACAUUUUAGCACCAUACUUCAGGUUUUAUUCUUCAGGUAAAUCUCUAGAAAUGAAAAUGUAAAAAAGGCUGUUGUCCCAUACAAAUUCCCAUACAAAUUUCAAACGCAAAGCGCUACGCCGGAUCCUAACCUAUCAACCCCGAAAUUUUCCAUAGUUUUUGGGACCCUAAAUGGAAAGAUUUCUGCCAACUUGAUGCGGGCAAGUUUACAUUUUUCCAUACAACUGUGCUCCACCGUUACAGAGAUUGUGUUCCAAGCAAUCAAUAAAACAGUAUGCCAAUCCGAUUAUUGAGAUGAAUAAGGGAUCUUCUAUCAUACCACCACUUGCUUUGCUGAAACAAAAAAUGGUAACAUUUUCUGCUAUCUUUUCCCGUUUCCUUUAUUCGAAACAGCUCGCUGCUUCUGGCGAAGCUCAUCUCGAAAGUGAGUAGCUAAUUGCUUAUUUUUUCAUUGUUCGUUAACGAAUAGUAGAUGGUACAUAAAAACUAAAUCUCUUUCUAUUAAUUGGCGAAGUUUCUUUUAUAACUAUACAAUCUGGUGAAUUUCCUCGAGACGGUUGUCUGUUAAUCAAAAAAAAUCAUCUGCAGCGUUGGCUAGUCUCUACCACAAAUUUUCCAUAAAUGGAUCAUGGUCGACCGAUUGUAAACGUCACACUAAAACUACCAUUUUAGACAUUUAUACCAGUGGUUGAAAAUUGACUACUUUCGACAGAUUCAACCGUCCGUUUUGUGUAGGCAAAUUACAAACUUCUCGAUUCCAUGACAGAACACAUCAAAUAACAGGGUUUAUGGUACCCAAAAAACAGUUUCAACAUUCAAUUUCCAUCUCCCUAUAGAUGGAACGCAACGUUUGGAAAGUACUGUAUGUCAACCCUAAUAAAAACGAUCAAAAUAUUUGCAUCAGAGCAAGCGAACGGGGGGUGAAUUUCAGAGCGUACCGCAGUUUGCUUCAAGACUUUUUCCACUGGGCGGAUCCAAGGAUGCUUUGAAUUAAUUACAGUUCAAUUCGUAUGUAAAUUUUUUGACAUUUCUAUCCUCCGUCUAAUUUAUUAUUUACAUUGUUCUAGGUAAUAUAUUACCGCAUUAUCCACGAACUUGGGUUCACGGAAUUUCAUCCCGUAAUACGUAUCAAGAUUCAAGUAGGUUUAGAACACAAAACAAAGAGUUUUUAAAGCAUCUAAAUGGGAAACAGUUUUCGUUGACUUUAGAAAGGACGACUACUUGGUGAAGGGGAGGAAAAGAAAGGUGUUUCCGCUGCAUUCAAUUUACGUUCCACGAAGAAGAUUUACGCAUCCGAGAAACUGUGUUUGAAGGAGGUUUUUAAACACGGAUGUGUCAACUGAUAAUCUUCACUUUCAAUAAAUUAAUUUUCCGUUAUUUUUUUUAGAUUAAAGCUGUCGGAUUAAAUGAUUUAAUUCAUUAUUCACUUAACAGAUGUUUUAAGCAUACGAUUAACUAACUUACUUGUGCCGGAUGGGUCCAUCAAAAACUUGUUCAUCAGCUAUAAAAGCUUUUUUAUUGGCUCGCCACGUGGCGGCAAUAGUGUUGUUUUUAUUAUCAGCUGUGCUGCUAGCCAGCACGUUAAUUCACAAAGUAGGCCUGCUCGUAGUGUAGAAGCGA